rnacentral:sRNA from 1 species
AAUGGGAAGAAGACUGGGGCUCAAAGGAACAGCUACUCUUGCCUAAAACCAUCACUGCUGAGGUACACCCAGUACCCCUUCGCAAGCCAAAGUAUGAUCAGGGAGUGGAGCCUGAGCUCGAGCCCGCAGAUGACCCAGAUGGAGGCACGGAGGAGCAGGGAGAGCAGCUUUUGGAUGGUUUUAUCGUUACGAUGGCAAAUUCCCAACCAUCCGGAAGAGCUGUGAGAGACUCUUUGUCUCCCAGCAGCUGGAACGCCAAGUCCCCAGGAAAUGCAAGUGGGUAUCCAUGGCCAUGAUCAUCUGUGCAUAAAUUCCCCUUAUUUAAAAAUAUAAAGAUUCAGCUCAUGCCUAUAAUCCCAGCACUGUGGGAGGCCGAGACAGGCGAAUCACGUAAGGUUGGGAGU